GCGCCAAGUUCGUCGUCAUGGUGAGGGUUGUGCAAAUCAAGGGUGUGCGAAUGCUCAUGGAGCACUUGAUCGCGACGCUGCCGGACCGCAAGCUCGUGCUAGAAGCGACGGCCACUGUCGUCUGCCUCAACCAAGAGUACCGCCCAACUCGCAUGUUCCCGGAGAUGGCCAAGCUGCUGCCCUUCUUCUCUCACCCUAAUUAGCUAUAAACUAAGCUGUAUGUACCGUGGAAAAGUUGUAAGCUGUUACUUAUCCUCCAUUCCUCCUCUACCUCCCUCCUAGCUGAAACAACUCUAUUUUUUUUAUCUGUUUUGAUAAGCAAGAAGUCAAAAGUCAAUAGCAGCUGGGAUCAAAAUGCUUCUGAUUAAAACUGUACUGCACGAAAGCAAAUGUUUCUAAACAAUAGUUUUAGGACUCA